AGCUCCAAUAGCGUAUAUUAAAGUUGCUGCAGUUAAAAAGCUCGUAGUUGAAUUUCUGGUGAGCGAGAGCGGUCCGAUCAAUGAUUGGUGCUUGCUUUCGCUGGCCAUCCUUGGGUUUAGCCAGUCUGGCAUUAAGUUGUCGGGCUGGGGAUGCCCAUCGUUUACUGUGAAAAAAUUAGAGUGUUCAAAGCAGACUUAUGUCGUUGAAUAUAUUAGCAUGGAAUAAUAAGAUAGGACUACAGUGCUAUUUUGUUGGUUUGCGCACCGUGGUAAUGAUGAAUAGGGACAGUUGUGGGUAUUCGUAUUCACUUGUAAGAGGUGAAAUUCUUAGAUUAAGGGAAGACGAACUACUGCGAAAGCAUUUACCAAGGAUGUUUUCA
rnacentral:rRNA from 1 species